rnacentral:rRNA from 1 species
GACGUGACUUCAGAGUUUGAUCCUGGCUCAGGAUGAACGCUGGCGGCGUGCUUAACACAUGCAAGUCGAACGAAGCACUUUAAUGGAACUCUUUGGAGGGAAGUUUUAGUGACUGAGUGGCGGACGGGUGAGUAACGCGUGGGUAACCUGCCUUGCACAGGGGGAUAACAGUUAGAAAUGACUGCUAAUACCGCAUAACCUGAUAGUACCGCAUGGUACAGACAGAAAAGAUUUAUCGGUGUAAGAUGGGCCCGCGUCUGAUUAGCUAGUUGGUGGGGUAACGGCCUACCAAGGCAACGAUCAGUAGCCGGCUUGAGAGAGUGAUCGGCCACAUUGGGACUGAGACACGGCCCAA